rnacentral:rRNA from 1 species
GAUGAACGCUGGCGGCGUGCUUAACACAUGCAAGUCGAACGAACCUUUCGGGGUUAGUGGCGGACGGGUGAGUAACGCGUGAGGAUCUGCCCUUAGGAGGGGGACAACUUUUGGAAACGGAAGCUAAUACCCCAUAUGGCGAGAGCUGAAACUAUUUGGCCUGAGGAUGAACUCGCGUCUGAUUAGCUAGUUGGUGGUGUAAGGGACUACCAAGGCGACGAUCAGUAGCUGUUCUGAGAGGAAGAUCAGCCACACUGGGACUGAGACACGGCCCAGACUCCUACGGGAGGCAGCAGUGGGGAAUUUUCCGCAAUGGGCGCAAGCCUGACGGAGCAACGCCGCGUGAGGGAGGAAUGUCUGUGGAUUGUAAACCUCUUUUCUCUGGGAAGAAGAUCUGACGGUACCAGAGGAAUCAGCAUCGGCUAACUCCGUGCCAGCAGCCGCGGUAA